rnacentral:rRNA from 1 species
UACGUAGGGUGCAAGCGUUGUCCGGAAUUAUUGGGCGUAAAGAGCUCGUAGGCGGUUUGUCGCGUCUGCUGUGAAAACUCGGGGCUUAACCCCGGGCCUGCAGUGGGUACGGGCAGACUAGAGUGCGGUAGGGGAGACUGGAAUUCCUGGUGUAGCGGUGAAAUGCGCAGAUAUCAGGAAGAACACCAAUGGCGAAAGCAGCUCUCUGGGACGGUACUGACGCUGAGACGCGAAAGCGUGGGGAGCGAACAGG